GGGUGACCCCGGCCCUAUUUGUGACCCCACCCCCACCCCCCAGGUCCUCCUGGAUGCGGAGGCGCUGCUGAGCCACGCUGAGGGCACCCUGCUGCAGCUGCAGGGGGCAAAGGAGCUGCCACCCCACAUCCGAGAGCUGUUGGCUUUGGGGCCUCCGUCUGCCCCAUAGAUGUGGGGUCAAGACCUCCUGCCCCAUAGAUACGGGGUGAGGAGUCUCCCAGCCCCAUAAAUAUGGGGUCGAGACCCCGUGCCCCACAAAUGUGGAGUGAAGAUCCCCAGCCCCAUAGAUAUGGGGUGAGACCUUCCCUGCCCCAUAGAUGUGGGGUGAAGACCCCCCUGCCCCAUAGACAUGGGGUCAAGACUUCCUCUGCCCCACAGAUGUGGGGUGAGGACCCACCCAGCCCCAUAGAUGUGGGGUGAAGACUCAUUUCUGCCCCACAGAUGUGGGGUUUGGGGUUGACCCGGAAAGGGGUGAAAAUAAAUGAGUGCCCCGAA